rnacentral:misc_RNA from 1 species
UUUCCGUAGGUGAACCUGCGGAAGGAUCAUUAUCGAAUGUCGAGGGGAAGGAAGAUGAGGAGUGGAGACUGUCGCUGGCUUUCCCGCCUGGGAAGCAUGUGCACGCCUUGCUUUUCGUUGACCUUUCUCUUACUCUCACACCUGUGCACCCAUUGUAGGUCUUCGAAAGAGGAUCUAUGUUUUUAUCAUCACACCCAUCGUAUGUCCAUAGAAUGUAACAUAAUCGUCGAUCGACCUCGCGGUCGGGUGGCAGUCUAAACAAAUAAAUACAACUUUCAACAACGGAUCUCUUGGCUCUG